rnacentral:hammerhead_ribozyme from 1 species
AUCCGGCUAACUAGUCCAAGAUAGGACGAAAUGCGCAUCAAACCGGAU